AUUAGGAAUCUUUAUCUUCAUUGAUUUAUAUACCAUUAUGGAUGAGAACUUUCUUGGUAGCACUUAAUGCAAAAAAUAUAUCCUUCAUUUUCUAUCAGUAAUGCAUUGUUUACUUUCUGCAGCACCCUCUACAUAACAUAUAGUAUAACUUAUAUCGUAACUUCUACCACAAUCAUUUUCCCAUAUAAAUUUUGGUACAAUAUACUUACUGUACUGUAUGGAAAAAGGGUUUACUGCAAUUUCUCUAAUGUCUCAUUUGGCCUCAUUGCAGUAUAGCAUAAGAAUGACUGAAAUAGGCAGAUUUAAGUUAAAGCAUCUAUUUUAUAAAAAACCAAGUGGCUAAGAAUAAAAUUUAAAGGAAUGAAUUUGAGCAAGAAGACUUUUGCAAGAGUAUGCAUUUCAUCCCCUUCUCUCCUAACUCUUCUACUGUAUUCCAUUCCUCUCCUUCUACCAUCUUUCUGUUGGUUAAACCUCUGAGUAGAGCCUUGUUCUUAUUAUACAGUACGAUCAUACAGUGAUAU
rnacentral:lncRNA from 1 species